CGCUGAAGCAACUGAGGUUCACUGCUGCUUGUGGAGGAGUACCCUACCACCGUGGAGCCGGUGUUUGGCUUCACUUCAUCGCAGUUCCCUGAUUGCCCUGGUUCCAUCAAGGUGUUUGAGGCCUCUGUUUCUAACUAAUCCUUUCCCCUGGCUGUGUUUCAGGCAAUUCAUUAACUUAACUUCGCUGCAUGUCCCGUUUCCCAUCUUCCCCUACUUAAAGAUCGAGGGAACAUCUGCAACCGACCACUACAGUCAUAUGUUUUUCCGUGUGGGAUGUCUGUCCAUAGUUCAGUUACCGCUGGCUCCGAAAUAAGCGAAAUAUGGUGUUGUUUAGGAAUUCUCAAUGCACCUCUGCUUGUCAUAUAAUACUCAUCGUUUGAGAAAAUGAUCUCUUACAUUCGCAAUAUACGACAAGACAAAUCAAUGUAAACCAUUCGACGGAGACCGUGUUCAUUGAAUCCAUUGAUGCUGCAUCCAGUACGUUUCCUGGCCUCUCCGCGUUUCAUGAGCAGGCCAGUAAAUGAGGUAGUACUUCAGGACCCCACCUGCAGGAAAUUUAGCAACCAUUCUUGAGUUUUUUCGCCGGCUAUUUGCGAGGUAGUCAAGUUCUUGAUGAUGAAGAAAUAUGGCGAUAUAUUCACAAGUCCCCUGGACAGUAAGAGACAUUAGCAAUGCAGAACUCACAAGCCUGACGGACCUAAGCGUGCUGAAGAAAAGGGCAUAGUUCAUGUCAUUCUAUAUUCCAGUGUUGGAAACUACCUAAUACCCGACUUUCAGCAUGUUGCCAAUAGGAUGAACGGGAAGUGAACAUUCAACAGAAUAUGUUAGGAGUAUUUCUUGUAAUUCUUGAGGGUAUUUGAAUUAAUCUAAAAACAGCACGAGG
rnacentral:sRNA from 1 species